UACGUAGGUGGCAAGCGUUGUCCGGAAUUAUUGGGCGUAAAGCGCGCGCAGGCGGUCCUUUAAGUCUGAUGUGAAAUCCCGUGGCUUAACCACGGGCGGUCAUUGGAAACUGGGGGACUUGAGUGCAGAAGAGAAGAGCGGAACUCCACGUGUAGCGGUGAAAUGCGUAGAGAUGUGGAGGAACACCAGUGGCGAAGGCGGCUCUUUGGUCUGUAACUGACGCUGAGGCGCGAAAGCGUGGGGAGCGAACAGG
rnacentral:rRNA from 1 species